rnacentral:tRNA from 1 species
UCUGAGAUGGCAGAAUAGUGCACCAGAUUUAAGCUCUGUUCAUGAAGGUCUUCCCUUCUCUCAGCA